rnacentral:rRNA from 1 species
GACGAACGCUGGCGGCGUGCUUAACACAUGCAAGUCGAGCGGUAAGGCCCUUUCGGGGGUACACGAGCGGCGAACGGGUGAGUAACACGUGGGUGACCUGCCCUCAGCUCUGGGGAUAAGCCUGGGAAACCGGGUCUAAUACUGGAUAUGACUCCAUGACGCAUGUUGUGGGGUGGAAAGCCUUGUGCGGCUGAGGAUGGGCCCGCGGCCUAUCAGCUUGUUGGUGGGGUGANGGCCCUACCAAGGCGACGACGGGUAGCCGGCCUGAGAGGCGACCGGCC